rnacentral:piRNA from 1 species
UAAAAAGUUCAAAAAUACUAC